rnacentral:rRNA from 1 species
GAUGAACGCUGGCGGCGUGCCUAAUACAUGCAAGUCGAGCGAACGGACGAGAAGCUUGCUUCUCUGAUGUUAGCGGCGGACGGGUGAGUAACACGUGGAUAACCUACCUAUAAGACUGGGAUAACUUCGGGAAACCGGAGCUAAUACCGGAUAAUAUUUUGAACCGCAUGGUUCAAAAGUGAAAGACGGUCUUGCUGUCACUUAUAGAUGGAUCCGCGCUGCAUUAGCUAGUUGGUAAGGUAACGGCUUACCAAGGCAACGAUGCAUAGCCGACCUGAGAGGGUGAUCGGCCACACUGGAACUGAGACACGGUCCAGACUCCUACGGGAGGCAGCAGUAGGGAAUCUUCCGCAAUGGGCGAAAGCCUGACGGAGCAACGCCGCGUGAGUGAUGAAGGUCUUCGGAUCGNUAAACUCUGUUAUUAGGGAAGAACAUAUGUGUAAGUAACUGUGCACAUCUUGACGGUACCUAAUCAGAAAGCCACGGCUAACUACGUGCCAGCAGCCGCGGUAAUACGUANGUGGCAAGCGUUAUCCGGAAUUAUUGGGCGUAAGCGCGCGUAGCGGUUUUUUAAGUCUGAUGUGAAAGCCCACGGCUCAACCGUGGAGGGUCAUUGGAAACUGGAAAACUUGAGUGCAGAAGAGGAAAGUGGAAUUCCAUGUGUAGCGGUGAAAUGCGCAGAGAUAUGGAGGAACACCAGUGGCGAAGGCGACUUUCUGGUCUGUAACUGACGCUGAUGUGCGAAAGCGUGGGGAUCAAACAGGAUUAGAUACCCUGGUAGUCCACGCCGUAAACGAUGAGUGCUAAGUGUUAGGGGGUUUCCGCCCCUUAGUGCUGCAGCUAACGCAUUAAGCACUCCGCCUGGGGAGUACGACCGCAAGGUUGAAACUCAAAGGAAUUGACGGGGACCCGCACAAGCGGUGGAGCAUGUGGUUUAAUUCGAAGCAACGCGAAGAACCUUACCAAAUCUUGACAUCCUUUGACAACUCUAGAGAUAGAGCCUUCCCCUUCGGGGGACAAAGUGACAGGUGGUGCAUGGUUGUCGUCAGCUCGUGUCGUGAGAUGUUGGGUUAAGUCCCGCAACGAGCGCAACCCUUAAGCUUAGUUGCCAUCAUUAAGUUGGGCACUCUAAGUUGACUGCCGGUGACAAACCGGAGGAAGGUGGGGAUGACGUCAAAUCAUCAUGCCCCUUAUGAUUUGGGCUACACACGUGCUACAAUGGACAAUACAAAGGGCAGCGAAACCGCGAGGUCAAGCAAAUCCCAUAAAGUUGUUCUCAGUUCGGAUUGUAGUCUGCAACUCGACUACAUGAAGCUGGAAUCGCUAGUAAUCGUAGAUCAGCAUGCUACGGUGAAUACGUUCCCGGGUCU